UAUAACAUUCGUGAAACUUUGAUCGAUAAGAUUUCUUCAACUUUCGUUCAAGCAUUUAUCUUAUCGCUUAAAUAAAAUUUCAAAUUUUUCUUUCACGACAAUGAUUAAAAUUCUCUCUAAGAUUUUCUCAUUAUCGAACACAACCAUUUAUGUAAUCCACGUAUUUCUCCCAAGAAUCUUCUUUAUUACACAUGUUCUAUCUUUCCUUAAGAUCUUUUCUUAUUCGUAACUUUUAUUUGCGAAGAAAAUAUAUUUUAUUCACUGCACUAAUUAUCUCUACAUUUCAACUUUCCUUCAUUCAUGCCUCCAUUCUCCAAAUAUCUUUUCCCCCCUCAUCCAAAAACCUAUCUCAAUAUUCUCUUCUUCCUCACUAUACGCACUUUCAUCAACAGUUCAUCAUAACGUUCACACACAACUAUUUCCAAAAAGAUCUAUACUUCGAUCUUCGAACCAAUUUUCAUCCUUCCAUCACCAAACAUCUUCCAACAACUUUCAACUCGUCUAUCUUAUCAAAGCUAUCCCAAUAUGCCAAUAUUUCCUUCUUCCUCCUCCUCGCUAUACACAGUUUCAUCAAUUACAACGAACGACGACGACGACAACGACGAAAACGACGUGUCAACAGCGUUAGCUAACCGCGGAAAGGCAGCUCGCUGUCGCAGAUACCGUAUCGCCUGAUAACACCCCACCCGAGCGUGUCCAAGUUACGCUUGGGACAAGCGAGAGGGCCCGAUAAAGCGUUUUAUUGCGGUCGACGCAAUCAGCCGGGUAAUCUGGUGAUCGUCGACGCCGAUUCGGACGCAUGCUGGCGGCGAUACACACCCGCGACGCCUCUCUUCUGCCUCCUCGGCGGCGUCAAGGCUGCUGCGACACCUUUUACUCUCGAUGGGUUUCCAGUUUCGCGGAACUGGAGGGAUUAAAAGAGGCGUAAAAAGCAAACAGAAGAAUGCACGAUUUACAUCUUAAAAGCGACAUGAUUGAACAUGUGACUCACCUUUCUGUUGGCCCUGUUGAAUAACUGGAGGAUUCUUCGCCUGAUUCAACACUGUUGAAAGAAGUACAAUUCAUCUUUCUUUCUUCCCAUUGCGACCGAACUUCGUCUUGCACUCUUCGUUUCAAUUCUUCUACUCUUCGUCUUUCUUCCGAAAUUACUUGGCUGCCUAAUAGAGAAAACAUGCCAAUUUGAUUUAUAAUAAAAAAUAAAAUA